rnacentral:rRNA from 1 species
GACGAACCGAGCGAACGUUAUUCGGAAUCACUGGGCUUAAAGGGUGCGUAGGCGGGCAAGUAAGUCAGGGGUGAAAUCCCACGGCCCAACCGUGGAAGUGCCUCUGAUACUGCGAGUCUAGAGGGAAAUAGGGGCGUGCGGAACUUCCGGUGGAGCGGUGAAAUGCGUAGAUAUCGGGAGGAACACCGGUGGCGAAAGCGGCGCGCUGGAUUUCUACUGACGCUGAGGCACGAAAGCCAGGGGAGCAAACGGG